UCAUUAAUUCUUAAUGACUUCAAGGUUCUUUUAUGAUAAUAAGAGCAUUGGGGCACAAAUACCAAAAUAUGAAUUCAUGCAAUUUAUGAUUCAUCUCAGAGCUCUUUUAAAGACUUUCUUUUGUUCUUUUAGAAAAUAAGCACAAUUUGAUACAUAAAAAAUAUGAAUUGGCACACAAUUUAAGUUCUAAAGAGCAAGCCAAUUUAGACUCAUUAGUGAAUUUCAAAAUAGAUUUUCUAAGAGAUACUCAAAAAAAAAAAAAUUCAACACGUUAUUCUCCCCCUUAAUUGAUCAUUCCAUUUAAGAGUUUAGAAUUUGAAGAUAAUGUUCAAUAAAAUUGUCAAUCUCAAAACAAAUAUAUUUUCUAUAAGUAUCAGCUUAUUUUCAUAAGACUCAAUGUUUGAGAUAAGACAACCUUUAUAGACAACUUUUAAAGCAAGUCUUGCAAUAUAAGGAGGUUCAUCAAAAUCAAUCCAUAAAAAUCAAGGUAUGAGAUACUGAAUAUCUAAAGCUCCCCCUCAAA
rnacentral:lncRNA from 1 species